rnacentral:pre_miRNA from 1 species
CCUCUCUCCUCACGGCCCUGUCUCCCAACCCUUGUACCAGUGUGUGCCUCAGUCCCUGGUACAGGCAUGGGGGUCAGGGACCUGGGGACCCAGCAGC